rnacentral:tRNA from 4 species
GGGCCUUUAGCUCAGUUGGUUAGAGCAAUCGACUCAUAAUCGAUUGGUCGCUGGUUCAAGUCCAGCAAGGCCCACCA